GUGCCAGCAGCCGCGGUAAUACGUAGGCAGCAAGCGUUGUUCGGAAUUACUGGGCGUAAAGAGUGUGUAGGCGGUUCGCCAAGUCUGGCGUGAAAUCUCCCGGCUUAACUGGGAGGGUGCGCCGGAUACUGGCGGGCUGGAGUGCGGGAGAGGAGAGCGGAAUUCCUGGUGUAGCGGUGAAAUGCGUAGAUAUCAGGAGGAACACCUGCGGUGUAGACGGCUCUCUGGACCGCUACUGACGCUGAGACACGAAAGCGUGGGGAGCAAACAGGAUUAGAUACCCGCGUAGUCC
rnacentral:rRNA from 1 species